rnacentral:ncRNA from 1 species
UUAUUGGAGAGUUUGAUCCUGGCUCAGGACGAACGCUGGCGGCGUGCCUAAUACAUGCAAGUCGAGCGAACCUCUGGGAGCUUGCUCCCAGAGGUUAGCGGCGGACGGGUGAGUAACACGUGGGUAACCUGCCUGUAAGAUUGGGAUAACUCCGGGAAACCGGAGCUAAUACCGGAUAACAUUUUGAUCCGCAUGGUUCAAAAUUGAAAGAUGGUUUCGGCUAUCACUUACAGAUGGACCCGCGGCGCAUUAGCUAGUUGGUGAGGUAACGGCUCACCAAGGCAACGAUGCGUAGCCGACCUGAGAGGGUGAUCG